GAUGAACGCUGGCGGUGUGCCUAAUACAUGCAAGUCGAGCGAACAGACGAGGAGCUUACUCCUCUGACGUUAGCGGCGGACGGGUGAGUAACACGUGGAUAACCUACCUAUAAGACUGGGAUAACUUCGGGAAACCGGAGCUAAUACCGGAUAACAUGUUGAACCGCAUGGUUCAACAGUGAAAGACGGUCUUGCUGUCACUUAUAGAUGGAUCCGCGUCGCAUUAGCUAGUUGGUAAGGUAACGGCUUACCAAGGCAACGAUGCGUAGCCGACCUGAGAGGGUGAUCGGCCACACUGGAACUGAGACACGGUCCAGACUCCUACGGGAGGCAGCAGUAGGGAAUCUUCAGCAAUGGGCGAAAGCCUGACGGAGCAACGCCGCGUGAGUGAAGAAGGUCUUCGGAUCGUAAAACUCUGUUAUUAGGGAAGAACAAAUGUGUAAGUAACUAUGCACGUCUUGACGGUACCUAAUCAGAAAGCCACGGCUAACUACGUG
rnacentral:rRNA from 1 species